AAAAUUUUUAGUUCUUCCUGGCAAUUGCAUGUAUAUUUUUUUCUGCAUGUUAUUUGGAUGUGAGGAGCUGUCAUUAUUAUUUUAGGAACAAAUAUGAAACAAUCUCUGGAAAAUGGAAUUUGAUUUUGAUUCAACAACAGGAGAAUUCUACUGUUUUUCUCCAGCAGCUCCACGAUAAAAGGGAACCCUGAGCAGAACACAUGCACAAACUCAUGCCAUACCCUAAGGGACAAGGUUCCCCACAUCUACUUGGAAAUCUUUGGGAUGCUCAAUGGAGAAAAACAAGGAGAGAAAAAUCUAAACCCAGCAGAAGAGAAAGUUUAAGAAAGCGGUCGUCGCCAAUACCAAAAUUAGCUAUGAUAUUCAGGAAGAAAAAAAUGGAAACACGAUAACCACAGUCAAUAAAGACCAAGGCCACAUUCCAUUGACCAGAGCUCAGCCACGCGCCACACCUGGCUAAAGAGACUCUGGCUGAAGAAUUCCCUGAAUAUUUUAAUGUAGCUCUAGGUUAUAACACAGAACAACCACAAGGUGGCAGAAGAACUCCAUUCUUGUAAAUCUCUUAGUUGCUUCUUUAUUUCAUCUUCCCUAUUCCAUCUAAUGUUCCCUGAAUUUUACUAUUUUGUUGGUUUGAAAAUAUGUGUGACUUACGUCCUUUAAAGGAUUUGGUUCGUAAGGUUUUGAAUAGACUGGAAUAUAAAACAUUUAUAGAAAAGAAAAAUACCUACAGUAUGAUGUUAGUGAACUAUUAAUAAUCCAAUUAAAUAAAAUAUAUUUGCUUUGGAUUAAUACAUAUUUUGUUUUGAUGUUUGCUAAAUAAAACUAAGCAUUAGGAGGCCAAAUAGCCACAAUGAACAUUUUCAUAUUAUUUAAUAAGCCAGUUUCAAGGCAUACAUGCUAAAUUUGUUCUUAAGGAAAAGUUGAAUUUUUGCUUUCAUUUUUACACGUGUAAAUCCAAUGUGUUCUGAAGUUUAAAGUGUCAAAGGCUGUUGGAUUUAAACAGAUCUUGUAUGACUCUCUGUUUCAUCUCUUCAGAGGUUGAUAGUAAGCAACUUUGGCAGCAACUCACAGCUUCUGCUGUAACAUGAGGCUAAUAAUGACGACUUUAUAAGGUUGUUGCAAAGAGUCAGGGAUGCCACAAGCAACGUUCUUUAUAUAUGCAGAAUUUUAAAAAUAAAGUAAAUAAAAAUAUUCCUUCCUCUAUUCCCCAUUUUUCUAACAUUAUUUGCAACUGGUGUUUUAAUGCAAGACCAAAGGCUAAAAUAUACAUGUAGCUAGCAGAAUCAAAACCUAGAUCAGAUGUUCAAAAGCAUCAUGCUGCUAAAAGAUUUCAGAGUCUAAAACCUGUGCUCACUCUUCUGAAACAUCUUUCCACUUCCUGUUUAAAAAAAAACGUGAUAUUCUUUGAAGCUCAUUUUUUGGGCUUCAUGUGUUGUAAUUAUACAUUUGUUAUAUAGGGUAUAUGAUGACUUACGCUCUAAGGUAUUAUUCAGUACAUUGUAGAAAAAGGAGAAUAAAGAAUGUUGUUUGUCAGUAGGCAGCUCUGUCCUCUUUAUCCUUGACUGUAAUUUACUAAAGAGCUGACAAAAUUACAGCACAGGCAGCAAUUCACCAUAUUACCCUGCAGACAGCCAAGAGACUGACAUUGAGAUGAUGCGUUUUAACUUGGGUCCAUGUAAGGAACCUGAUGGGGUUAUAUGAAUUCUUUUCUGUACUAUGAAAAAAUGAAGUUGCUAAUAAGAAGGAGGUACAAAAGUGUGUACUCUGCGC
rnacentral:lncRNA from 1 species